UUUGUUCGAUACAGAUACAAAGUGUAAUAUAAUAGUAUACAUACCCGUUCGUUUGCACACAUUGUUGUUUUUUAUUCAAAUAAAUAUUUAUUUAAAAAAAAUACCAUAUUUUAAAUCGUAUACGAUAAAUAUUGCACCGUUAUAAAGUACUCACAAUAAUUAUUAUAAUAAUAGUAUACAUCUAAAUAUUAUAAUAGUUUGAUCAUCACAUUUCGCCUUUGGACUUGAAACCGAAUACAAGUCAAUGAAUAAGACACGAUAAAAGAAAUGCCACGUUGAAAUUUUUAUACCUUGUAAUCGAGGAGUACCUACCUAAUUUUUUAUUUAUUAUUAUUAUUAUAUAUUUUUUUUUUUGUAUUGCAAUUGAAUAGAUACGUCGCGUCAAUGUAAAAUGGUCGUACACAAAGGUAUACAACAACGCGAAUAUACGAGUGUAUAAUAUUAUAAAGAGUGCCGACAAUAAUAAUAUUGUGAUGAUGUAUGAAUAAAAAAAAAAAAAAAAAUUCUAGUCAUUAAAUAUAAUAAUUCCUCGGCGAAUUUCCGAGUGUAUUAUAUCGUACACAAUUACCGUUAACAUCGGCCUCGGUAAAAUGGUUGAGAAUACUGCUGCACUUCUACGAGUGACGUGUAAGCCGUCUCUGCAUUCGCGUAAAUACGGUACCUACACCUAAUUAAUAAUGCAAUUGAGCGUUUUACACGAAUACAAAAUAUUUGAUGCAUUGUAUUAUGUAGGUACCGACUAUUGUCACGGUUAAAUGGAGUAAAAUAAUUGGCAAAUCUAAUUUCUCGCGCCGCAAACAAUUGUAACAAUAUUAUAUAGGAACGAUUAAUUUAUAUUUUUUAAAAAAAAUAUAUAGGUAUAUGGAAUAAUUUACACAUUUUAAUUACGGCAACCUCGUUCUAUUGUUCAUUAAAAACGACUGUACGUUCGUCAACGGUUCUGGAAGGGUGGAGGAGGUAUAUAAUUCGAUAACGAAUUACCGCCAAAGCGAGUAGAGGAACUAUAAAGAAUUGGUUCCCGAUGAAAAUUACACGGUACCAUUAAACUGUUCGAAUUGGUUCCCUAACGUAGUAAAAAUUGGUUUAAAUAAAAAAGUUAUGGUCUUAUCAUCGCGGAUUAUAAACACGUUUUAUUCAUCACGAGAAAAUCUAAACGGUUCUCGUACCGUCAAAACCUGAUAAACUUGCUAAUCAAUCCAAAUCAAUUCUCUAUAGCUUUUCGAUGUGACUACCGAUUUUUUUUUCCAACGACAGUAACCGCUUUGUACGCAUUUAUUUGAGGUGUUUAUUAGACACCUGUAAUUCUAUGUAAACAAGAGGGAAAUGUAUUUUUGUGAGUUUUUAAUUCUGUUUUUAAUAUUUCACUCGGAAACUAUAAUUAGGAAAUUGAGAGCCAACUAGUAGUAAUGGUCCCAGUCACAGCUCACAAACUUCAAGGUUACAAUGACUCGAACCCGUAAUUCGUGGAAAUGAUGAAAACGUCAUUUAAAACGAUUGUGAAUUAUUGGAAACCGGAAGCGAAGAACCCCUUGUGGGAGGUUCGGUAAACGGUGAUCAAAAUGUGGUUCAAAAGAAUUUGGAAAGUUUAGCAGUGAACGAUUGAAAGAAAUAUUUUUCAGGAUCGGAUAGUGUUAGGAGCGAAAACUCGGAAAACUACUUAAUAGACUUAAAAAAAAAAAAAUGAAAAUGUAUAGAAUAAUAAGAAAAAUUAUUGUUCUUGUUAUAAAAUAUUAAUCGGAAUGAUAACCAUUGAAAGGACUUUGACUUACUGCAUAGCCGUUAUAAUGAACUUCCGAGUAGUUAUGUAGACUAAAUUAUGUACUUAAUUUUCAAAUAAUAACCUACAUAUUAAAACUCUGUAAAUAAUAUUUUCGUUAAUUUUGAAAACAUCGUUUUCUUAAUGUUAUAAUAGUAAUUCACAAUAUGUGGCCAAAAACUGAACACUGUAUAGAUUUGUAUAGAUUAUAAUGCAUUUUCAUUUUUCUACUGUAAAUUCGAAAUUAUAACGUCCAUUCGGAGGUAGGAGUGAAUGAAUAAAAAUAAUAGGUAGGUUAUAAUAAUACAAUAAUAUAAAAUU
rnacentral:lncRNA from 1 species